UUCCGGUUGAUCCUGCCGGACCCCACCGCUAUCGGGGUGGGACUAAGCCAUGCGAGUCGGCGCCCUCCAGCCAACGGGGAGGGCGCGGCGGACGGCUCCGUAACACGUAGCUAACCUACCCUCAGGACGGGAAUAACCCCGGGAAACUGGGGCUAAUUCCCGAUAGGUGAGGAGGCCUGGAAUGGUCCCUCACCGAAAGGGCUCUGGAACCAUGCUUCCAGAGCCGCCUGAGGAUGGGGCUGCGGCCGAUCAGGUAGUUGGUGGGGUAACGGCCCACCAAGCCUAUAACCGGUACGGGCCGUGAGAGCGGGAGCCCGGAGAUGGGCACUGAGACAAGGGCCCAGGCCCUACGGGGCGCAGCAGGCGCGAAACCUCCGCAAUGCGCGCAAGCGUGACGGGGCUACCCCGAGUGCCGCCCGCUGAGGGCGGCUUUUCCCCAGUGUAAACAGCUGGGGGAAUAAGGGGAGGGCAAGUCGGGUGUCAGCCGCCGCGGUAAUACCCGCUCCCCGAGUGGUGGGGACGAUUAUUGGGCUUAAAGCGUCCGUAGCCGGCCUGGCAAGUCCCUCGUUAAAUCCAACGGCCUAACCGUUGGACUGCGGGGGAUACUGCCAGGCUAGGGGGCGGGAGAGGCCGGCGGUAUUCCCGGGGUAGGGGUGAAAUCCUAUAAUCCCGGGAGGACCACCAGUGGCGAAGGCGGCCGGCCAGAACGCGCCCGACGGUGAGGGACGAAAGCCGGGGGAGCGAACCGGAUUAGAUACCCGGGUAGUCCCGGCUGUAAACGAUGCGGGCUAGGUGUUGGCGCGACUACGAGUCGCGCUAGUGCCGCAGGGAAACCGUUAAGCCCGCCGCCUGGGGAGUACGGUCGCAAGACUGAAACUUAAAGGAAUUGGCGGGGGGGCACCACAAGGGGUGAAGCUUGCGGUUCAAUUGGAGUCAACGCCGGG
rnacentral:rRNA from 1 species